rnacentral:lncRNA from 1 species
CAUUGUAGUAAGAUGCAAUUUAAACCUGGUUAUACUACUAACACUUUGACUGGAAUGUCUUGUUUUCAGAUAUAGUCAAAUAUGUCACUAGCUUUAAGGCACAGACUGACUAUAUAAUACAAGCCCAGUAGAAAUUACCUCACAUCUGAUCUGCAUGAUUCCCUUACAGGGUUUCUGACCUUGCAGUAAGUAAAGAAUGUUCAUUUUUGAGAAGCCCAGGAAAUACCUACUUUUGAAGGACACCUUGAGGAGACAGCAAUUCAUCCAAAAUGUGCAAUUUUCUGAAACUGUGGCACGAACUGUAUGACUACAAAAUGGAAGGAUGUUAUCUACACCUGCCAUGUUUUUAUAGUUCUGAAAAAUGUUUUAAAAGGCUCAAAUAUGGUUCAGGCUAGCCUUGAACCCAGGUGUGCCUUGAACUGACAGAAUCCUCUUACCUCAGUCUCCAAGUGCUGGAAAUACAGACAAGUGUCACCAAGCCCAGUUUCAUUCAUUCUUUGAACAUCAAAUUCUUAACAAUUAUUUUCUGUGAAUAUGAUGGGCUCAUAUGUGUUUAUGACAGAAUGACAUAAUUGUUUGGCUGCUUCAAAUAGGAGGACUGUGGAAACAAUUUUUAAUACCUGAAUUGUGAAGCUUCAGAAGAUCCGAUUGGAGAAACAAGAAACAAAAUAUUCUUGGAGACCUGAACUGGGGACAAAAGGAACUCAUGACAGGUGGAUCUCUACAAGCAAUUCAGGGACUUCCACAAGACAAUUUUAGAGGCUGCUAUUCUUUACUUGCUUCUAUUCUGACCAUAAGGAUGAAUGGAAAGUUGUAAGUAGGGCUUUGUGAGGAAGAAAUGAUAUAAUUUUCUCAGCUUAAAUAAACCAGAGAAAAAUUAUAACAAAAUAUAUCUAUGUGGGGAAAAAAACGCUAACAUGAACUAUAUUCUCAGUGCUGAGCAUUGGAAUAUUAUCUAAUUUUUAUAUGAUAAUAAAUGGUAUGAUUAAUAUUUUGGGUCAUAAAUCAUUAUUUAAUUUUAAGAUUAGUUAGG